AUUGAACGCUGGCGGCAUGCCUUACACAUGCAAGUCGAACGGCAGCACGGGAGCAAUCCUGGUGGCGAGUGGCGAACGGGUGAGUAAUAUAUCGGAACGUGCCCAGUCGUGGGGAUAACGUAGCGAAAGCUACGCUAAUACCGCAUACGAUCUAUGGAUGAAAGCGGGGGAUCGCAAGACCUCGCGCGAUUGGAGCGGCCGAUAUCAGAUUAGGUAGUUGGUGAGGUAAAGGCUCACCAAGCCGACGAUCUGUAGCUGGUCUGAGAGGACGACCAGCCACACUGGGACUGAGACACGGCCCAGACUCCUACGGGAGGCAGCAGUGGGGGAAUUUUGGACAAUGGGCGCAAGCCUGAUCCAGCAAUGCCGCGUGCAGGAUGAAGGCCUUCGGG
rnacentral:rRNA from 1 species